UUUUCUCCCCUUUUUUUGGGGGGGUGUAUAUAUCAAUGAAUAAUAAUUCGAGCAUAUAAAUGUUUUUUUUUUCACUUUUAGCUUCACAAUACCCUUACGCAAAGGCAUCAACUCUUAUUUGUUUCUUGAGGUCCAUCUCAUAAUUGGCUCUCAACGGAUCAGAUACAUAAUAUGUAUGGUAUUUUUUUUUUUCUUUUCCUGUCUUUAUAAUUAGAUUGAUAGGGAUAUUGCACAAAUUCAUUUUUGAUCACGUAACUAUAAUGUUUUUAUAGUUCCUUUUUCAGAGCUACAGCC
rnacentral:lncRNA from 1 species